CAGCUGGGAGAGCGCUUGCAUGGCAUGCAAGAGGUCAGCGGUUCGAUCCCGCUUAGCUCCACCA
rnacentral:tRNA from 21 species